rnacentral:rRNA from 1 species
AGAGUUUGAUCCUGGCUCAGAACGAACGCUGGCGGCAGGCUUAACACAUGCAAGUCGAACGCCCCGCAAGGGGAGUGGCAGACGGGUGAGUAACACGUGGGAACAUGCCCAAAGGUACGGAAUAUCCUCGGGAAACUGAGAGCAAUACCGUAUGUGCCCGAAAGGGGAAAGAUUUAUCGCCUUUGGAUUGGCCCGCGUCGGAUUAGCUAGUUGGUGGGGUAAAAGCCUACCAAGGCGACGAUCCGUAGCUGGUCUGAGAGGACGACCAGCCACACUGGGACUGAGACACGGCCCAGACUCCUACGGGAGGCAGCAGUGGGGAAUCUUGGACAAUGGGCGCAAGCCUGAUCCAGCCAUGCCGCGUGGAUGAUGAAGGCCUUAGGGUUGUAAAAUCCUUUCGUUGGGGACGAUAAUGACG